GUUGGUAAGGCGGGUCCGCGGACCCCAGGUCGAGCCCAGCGGCAGUGCAGGAUCGCAAGCGGCCCGGCACCGGCGCCGCAGGUUACAAAAACCUGAGACUUCCAUUUUGCUGGAAACUUCUUUUCCUCUUGCACACUCACUCUGCGACUCUGUGUGGAGAGCUCCAUGUGACAAGGGAGGUCUGCAGCCUAAGCAACUGAGACCUCAGCCCAACAGCCCUCAAAGAACUGGAUCUUCAAACAACCACAUGAGUGACCUAGAAGCAAAUCUGUCACCAGUGCUCUUGAGACGGAGAAAAGAUCAUGAUCUAAGAGUCUACAAGACCAGAGCAGCCUGAAUUGCUGAGCUGCCUGGUGGAGAAUAGCAGCAUUGGGUGGUUCCCAGGAUUCUUAAAAGGACUUUACAAAGGAUUAGGUUGAGGUUCUGCAUUUUUGGCAAGAAUACCACAGAUGUGAUGCUGUACCUUUCUCAGUGCAGCCUAUGAGGUGGUUCAUGAAGAAAAUGUAUCAUAUUAUCAGUGAAUGUUAUCCUCGUUCCCUUAGUGAAGGUGGUACCUGCCAGCUUCUACACUGUAAUGGGUAUUCUUAUUAAAUCUGAUUAUCACUCUUCUAAUUGCUACUGAAACCAGGAAAAAAAAGCUCAGAAAAGAUGUCAUAUAUCUUCAAAUUGUUUAAAUAAAAUUAAUCACAGAU
rnacentral:lncRNA from 1 species